rnacentral:rRNA from 1 species
AACCAGCUCUUCAAGUGGUCGGGAUAAUUAUUGGGCUUAAAGUGUCCGUAGCCGGUUUAGUAAGUUCCUGGUAAAAUCGGGUAGCUUAACUAUCUAUAUGCUAGGAAUACUACUAUACUAGAGGGCGGGAGAGGUCUGAGGUACUACAGGGGUAGGGGUGAAAUCUUAUAAUCCCUGUAGGACCACCAGUGGCGAAGGCGUCAGACUGGAACGCGCCUGACGGUGAGGGACGAAAGCCAGGGGAGCGAACCGGAUUAGAUACCCGGGUAGUCCUGGCCGUAAACGAUGCAUACUAGGUGGUGGCACGGCCAUGAGCCGUGUCAGUGCCGUAGGGAAACCGUUAAGUGUGCCGCCUGGGAAGUACGGUCGCAAGGCUAAAACUUAAGGAAUUGGCGGGGAGCACCACAAGGGGUGAAGCCUGCGGUUC